rnacentral:rRNA from 1 species
GACGAGGGGUCCUAGCGUUGUUCGGAAUCACUGGGCGUAAAGCGUAUGUAGGCGGGCUUUUUAAGUCAGGUGUGAAAAUCCCAUGGCUCAACCAUGGAAUUGCAUUUGAAACUGGAAGUCUUGAGUGUGGGAGAGAUUGGUAGAAUACCUGGUGUAGUGGUGAAAUACGUAGAUAUCAGGUGGAAUACCGGUGGCGAAGGCGCAAUUGCCCAAC